rnacentral:rRNA from 1 species
GAUGAACGCUAGCGGCAGGCCUAAUACAUGCAAGUCGAACGGUGUCUUCGGACAUAGUGGCGCACGGGUGCGUAACACGUAUGCAACCUACCUUACAUUGGGGGAUAGCCUUUCGAAAGGGAGAUUAAUACCGCAUAAGACAGUAGCUGGGCAUCCAGCAGCUGUUAAAGAUUUAUCGAUGUAAGCUGGGCAUGCGUCCAAUUAGCUAGUUGGUGAGGUAACGGCUCACCAAGGCUAUGAUUGGUAGGGGAACUGAGAGGUCAAUCCCCCACACUGGCACUGAGAUACGGGCCAGACUCCUACGGGAGGCAGCAGUGGGGAAUUUUGGACAAUGGGGGCAACCCUGAUCCAGCCAUGCCGCGUGAGUG